rnacentral:autocatalytically_spliced_intron from 4 species
AAAUUCGACUAUAUGCUGGAAUAACUGUGUAUCUUAGACUAGUAUUGACUUUGGUUUUAAUUCGGAUAAUACUGAAUUAAUGCCCAAAUUAAAUACUGAAAAUGUUUUAAGUGCAGUCAAUCAGCAGGGAAGAUCUCGAAAGAGAAACCCUCAGAGACUAUAUGUCGAAU